UACGUAGGGUGCGAGCGUUGUCCGGAAUUACUGGGCGUAAAGAGCUCGUAGGUGGUUUGUCGCGUUGUUCGUGAAAACCGGGGGCUUAACCCUCGGCGUGCGGGCGAUACGGGCAGACUUGAGUACUGCAGGGGAGACUGGAAUUCCUGGUGUAGCGGUGGAAUGACGCAGAUAUCAGGAGGAACACCGGUGGCGAAGGCGGGUCUCUGGGCAGUAACUGACGCUGAGGAGCGAAAGCGUGGGGAGCGAACAGG
rnacentral:rRNA from 1 species